GUUUAUUUUUAUUUUGGUGUCAAUUUCCUUCCAUUAUUCACUCUUUUUCCAAAGCAUAGUGUGGCAGUGUUAGCAAGUUUUAUAUAGCAAUGCCCUGUUCAGAAGGAAGAAAAGUGUUUAUGCUGAAUUAAGAAUUAAAUCAAUAAACCUAACUUCUCAUAACCCCCCACCCUUCUUUAUCUCUCUCUGUCUCUCUCUUUCUAUCUCUUAUGCAACAAAACUACUCAUAUUAUAAUAACGUAUUAAAAGGCUUUACUGUUUGCCACACUACACAUUUGUCUCACUCUUAAUAUAAAUAAAGGGAAAUACCAGCAUUUAAGUAUAUUUUUUUAGCGCUUGAUGCCAAUAAUAUAAACAAUUCUAUUUUGCCAAUCUUACAUGUAUUUUAUUAACAUUUAAAUUUUUGCUUCUUGAUUAAUCACAAUGUUUUAAAUAAUCUGAUUCGUUUUUCAUUGAUUGACACCACACAAUUAAUUGCAUUGACAGCCCUAGUAUAUUUGAUUAUAUAUAUAUAUAUAUAUUUUGUCUGUGUAUUAGUGGGGGUGUGUGUACAAAACAAUAUUCAUACACUGAAUAGCAGGAAGCACUGUUGGUUGACAUUGCCAUAUCAUUUGGGUGGUCAUCUGAUUGCUGGCAUUAUUAGCAGAAACAACAAUGGGCACUGGAAAUUCUAAAAUCAAGCGAAAGAGACCAGAGAGUCUGAGCGAUGUUUGUAGCAGACAGUCUGUGCAGCAGGAUAAGCUCUCAAUUCAAUGUGUGGACGACCCUGAGGGAGUUGGUUCUGUGAUGGCUUAUGAUAAUGAGACCUUCCCUAUGGCCAAACAGCUUCCGACUGAAGAGGACAAAGUUCAAGUUAUCAAGGAGCACUGAUAUGAGCUUGCUGAUGGCUCUCUUGAUUGGCUGUGGGGAACACGGUGAGUAGGCAGUAAGUUGAAUUAAUAACAGAUUUAGUAAACUGUGCUGUGCUGUUUCACAUAUACUGUGAUGGGCGGUUUUGGUGUAUGGAUAUCGUCUGUCAUCUGAUUAAUAAAGUAGCUACCUAUUGUUUUUUAUCA
ensembl:lncRNA